UGAUGAUGAUGAUGAUGAUGAUGAUGAUGAUGAUGAUGAUGAUGAUGAUGAGCAUUAUAUUAUUAUCAUUAUCAUCAUUAUCAUUAUUAUUACUA
rnacentral:pre_miRNA from 1 species